ACGUAGCAUAGUAGUAGGCAGCUAGCUAGUAGAUGAUGCUAGAUAGUGCAUGUACACUAUGACGAUAGACUACGCGAUAGCACGCUCCGCGCGUAGACGUCGACGCGGCUAAUACCGGAUACGCCCUGAGGGGCAAAGCUUUUGCGCUUUAGGAGGAGCACGUACGUAGAUGACUCAGUCAGUACGCAAACGUAGCAUACGUAGACUGCUACGUAGAUGCUCGUAAUGCUAGCCGCUCGUAGCACAGCCCAGACGCCAGUACGAUCAGCAACGCAUCACAUGUCAGCUACGUACGAUGAUAGCUCGAAUGAUACGUACGACUACGUAGCCAGAGAUAGUGACAGCUACGUACUACGCGCGCAUGAUAGCCGCCAGUACGAUAGUCAGACUAGUAGCACUAGAUAGCUACUCAGUAGGAAUCACUGGGCGUAAAGGGCGCGUAGGCGGACCAGCAAGUCAGGGGUGAAAGCCCUGGGCUCAACCUAGGAAGUGCCCUUGAAACUGCAGGUCUUGAGUCCGGGAGAGGAGAGCGGAAUUCCCAGUGUAGAGGUGACGUACGUAGAUAGUAGCUACGAUGAUGACUGCAUGAUGCCAUGACUCAGUCAGCAUACGUCGAUGAUGCACGUACGUCAGCAUGAGCAUGACUGCAUACGUACGUACGCAGAUAGCUCGUAGACUGCACAUACGUAAAAUUCGUACGUAGACUGACUGCAUGACUAGCUAGUAGAUCGAUGAUGCAUGAUGAAGCUAUCGGUUCGGCCGAGCACUCUAGCGGAUCGCGUCUGCAA
rnacentral:rRNA from 1 species